ACCCUGGCUGCCUGACCAUUCUGCCUGCCUUGACCAUGAGCCCGUCUGCCACUCUACGUCCUGGACUCUGAUCUGGUUUUGACCUUUGACCUGUCCACGACCAUUCUCCUUUGGAUUAUUAAACCUUGUAAGACUCCAACCACCUGCCUCCUGGGUCUGCAUCUGGGUCUCGCCGUGUGCCUUAAUACUGCAUAUCUACACGUUUGUGCAACUACAUGGAGCCGAAUAAAUGUGCUUGUGUCAGGACACGCUGUACAUUCUAGUGAAUUUGGAGGUUCCAGUGUUCCCCCUCGACACUAUGAAGAUCGCGUUCUCAUCGUUGGCAGAAACGGGGAGGCAGAUCUCUUUGAUCAAGAGAACGUGUCACAAUCUCAGUGGUCUGUCUGGCGUGUCUGUGACUCAGUCUGACCGACAGACGUCACUGAACAGCAAUUCUAAUGGACCUAAAGAGCCAGAAUGAUAAAACUGUAAUAGUAGAGACCAAAUAAAGAGACUUGAGAUACUGA